GAAGCAGCUCCGGGAGGACAGGAACGUUCCAACCUCUCCUGCUACACUUGUGUCUCUGGCCGGGGCUUCCCAAAUGCAUGAUCAUUAAAGGGCAGCGCCUCACGUUCCUCCCCCCUCUAGAUCACUUCCACCUGGCCUCAGCCUCCAGCAUCAAUGCGUCUGACUCCCCUGAAGAAUGGGGUCCACUGCCCGCAGGAAGGGAGGGGGCUGGCCCACU
rnacentral:lncRNA from 1 species